GCCAGACUCCUACGGGAGGCAGCAGUGGGGAAUAUUGGGCAAUGGGCGCAAGCCUGACCCAGCAACGCCGCGUGAAGGAAGAAGGCUUUCGGGUUGUAAACUUCUUUUCUCAGGGACGAAGAAAGUGACGGUACCUGAGGAAUAAGCCACGGCUAACUACGUGCCAGCAGCCGCGGUAAUACGUAGGUGGCAAGCGUUAUCCGGAUUUAUUGGGUGUAAAGGGCGUGUAGGCGGGAGCGCAAGUCAGAUGUGAAAGCCCGGGGCUCAACCCCGGGACUGCAUUUGAAACUGUCAGGCUGGAGUGCAGGAGAGGUAAGUGGAAUUCCUAGUGUAGCGGUGAAAUGCGUAGAUAUCAGGAGGAACACCGGUGGCGAAGGCGGCCUGCUGGACUGCAACUGACGUUGAGGCCCGAAAGCGUGGGGAGCAAACAGGAUUAGAUACCCUAGUACA
rnacentral:rRNA from 1 species